AUGUUAGAUGGUCUAGAUGACAUGGAUGGUGUCGAGGAUGUGCGUUUUGAUGAGCUCAUAGGCAUGCAAGGCGUAGUAUUUCACUUGGUUGGGAACGCAAUUACACGCAUACCGGACAAGUUUGCGAGCAGUUUCAUCAGACAGAUGCAGACCUCAGAGGGGCUCGACCUGAAACUGAAAGCACCGAGCGGUGAGACAUGGCAUGUGGGUGUCAGCAAGGUUGCCAAUGAGCUGUUCUUGAGGUCAGGAUGGGGAGGUUUCGCUAAGGCUCAUGAACUGCAGGAGAAUGACCUCUUGCUCUUCACAUGCACUGGCAAUGCCUCCUUCGAGGUCCUAAUCUUCGACCCGAGUGGCUGCGAGAAACUGUCUCCUCUCUUCGCCGGCAGAAUGCGCAAACACUUUGACAAUAUGGUGGGUCAAGGCGGCGUUGAGCAAUACCCUGAUUCUGAUGAUACUAGGGUGCCGUCUCAGUUUGUUGGAUCCCCUCAAAAGGCCUCUACUUCAAGAAAAUGCAGUGGCAAAACUAAAUCAAGCAAAGAGCUUCCUGAAUCACCAAGCAGCACCAGCUGUCAUGUUAAGCUUGAGGCAACUGAGGAACAGAAGAGUGAUGAUGACACAUGCACUGAGCCCGGUUACUACUCUUCGAGGACUGCAAGUCAGCUAAAUGAGGAUGAAAAACAGGAAAUCAUGGAGCGUGCUUCCAUCCGACCGGGGAAUCCCGCAUUCGUGGUGGUUCUGCUGAUGACCCAUCUCCAACGCAAGAACAACUUUCUGACCAUCCCCAGUAAAUUUGCAGCUGAUCAUCUUCAGAGCAAGCCGCGUGAGGUCCUGCUGCUUAGGCUGAGCAGAGAAGACAAGUGGCAUGUCAGGUGCUACUAUUCCAGCAGGACCAGAUGCUUCAACUGCCAACGUUGGGUCAAGUUUGUGAGGGACAAUGGGCUGCGCGAGGGCGACGUCUGCGUCUUUGAGCUGAUCAAAGGCGCAAGGAAGAUGACAACGAUGACCGUCCAUGUUGCCAGGAGGAAGAAAGAUGGCCGGUUUGUCGCCGGACAAUGGGCUGCGCGAGGGCGACGUCUGCGUCUUUGA
rnacentral:rRNA from 1 species